UUUCUUUGAGCAUAUUUUACCUGGUCUGUGGAGGUUCCUAUCAAGAGUUGACAUUCUGGGGCAGCAUGCCCCGGAACUCCGCAUAUCUCGCGGUUUGGUGCUACGGCAACCACGGUGGAUGUGGGUGUUAUGGUCAAGUUGUCUAUCUUUUGAGUAAGAGCAUCUACCUUGGCGUUGACAUGGUCAAGACUGCUUAAUUCGUACAUGUCGCCUUUCGUUGGAGGUUUCUCUA
rnacentral:lncRNA from 1 species